GGAUGUUAGCUAUUUCAGAGUGUUCGUGCAUGACACAAACAACUCUACCUGCAGGAAACAAACAAGGGAUGCAAAACCGUGAGGAAAUCUGUAUAAAUAAAGACAUCAAUUAGAUGUGAAUCCAGUGCUUGCAUCAGCUUGAGAGGUAAGUGCAGUCGGGCUGUCUUCCUUCAGUAAUCUGUGGAGAAAAUUGCUGCCCCACAUCUCAAGCACUUAGCCCAGAACAUACCUGUGCUGGCAGUGCCAGAGGACCAACAAUCAGGUCUUAAGAUCUGCCACUCUGCCAGAAGCUGUUAAAUCAGCCAAGCUGAAGAAGCAAGAGCAGCAUCUCCUGCUUGUUCAGAUUGAGUGGUCUAUCUACCAGAAGAUGGUUUCUGACUGCGAGACCACCUGUCAAGACCUGCAGUUGUCUCUGGGGAGCCCUACUGAAGCAGCAAGC
rnacentral:lncRNA from 1 species